CAUAGGAGGCUUUGUACGUCAGAGUUUGGUUUUUCUUCUUAUAUGGUAUACAUUCCUGGAUUCAUCUAAGGAUGGCUUUAUCCGAUCAACUCGACCAAGCACUAAAUCUACUGGGAGUGUGACCGAUCGCCCAAACACCAUUUCACAUGGGCUUAUCCCUGUGGCUUCAUGGGAAGAUGAUCGAUAUGCCAACAUGAGUAAGGGUAUCAGGGAUAGCAUCAACCCAUUUGGUGAAGUAGUCUCCCACAACUAGAAGAUAAGAAUUUUUCCUGUGAGUCAUUGGUAAAGGACCUAAUAUAUCCACUGCCCAUCCUUCCAUUGGAGCACCAACCAGAACCCUUGGGAGCUGAUGUUUGUUUUGGUGAAGAUUCAUUUUGAAAGAGUUCUUCAUGGGAUGAAUUUUCUACUUCUGCUUGGGAUCUUGGAUCAAAAAUAAUCUCUCCCGAAUCAUCUAAAUGACUAUCCUCCCGUGACAUUUUUAAGAAUUUCUUUUGGGAGUAUUAUUUUACUUUAUGAUGUAAAAAAAUUAUUUGUAUAAUUAUUGUCUUUUGUCCAAUCAGAUAAAUGGGAAUAAAAAUUGAAGAAUCCCACUUCUGACACCAAUGUUGCCGUUCAGGGGUUUUCUCCCUUAUGUAACUUGUGGGUCUCCCAAGUCUGUAUAUUGGACAAAAGAACUCUA